GACGAACGCUGGCGGCGUGCUUAACACAUGCAAGUCGAACGGAAAGGCCCUGCUUUUGUGGGGUGCUCGAGUGGCGAACGGGUGAGUAACACGUGAGUAACCUGCCCUUGACCUUGGGAUAACUUCAGGAAACUGGGGCUAAUACCGGAUAGGAGCUCCUGCUGCAUGGUGGGGGUUGGAAAGUUUCGGCGGUUGGGGAUGGACUCGCGGCUUAUCAGCUUGUUGGUGGGGUAGUGGCUUACUAAGGCUUUGACGGGUAGCCGGCCUGAGAGGGCGACCGGCCACAUUGGGACUGAGAUACGGCCCAGACUCCUACGGGAGGCAGCAGUGGGGAAUAUUGCACAAUGGGCGGAAGCCUGAUGCAGCAACGCCGCGUGCGGGAUGACGGCCUUCGGGUUGUAAACCGCUUUCGCCUGUGACGAAGCGUGAGUGACGGUAAUGGGUAAAGAAGCACCGGCUAACUACGUG
rnacentral:rRNA from 1 species